UGGGGAAUUUUCCGCAAUGGGCGAAAGCCUGACGGAGCAACGCCGCGUGAGGGAUGAAGGCCUCUGGGCUGUAAACCUCUUUUAUCAAGGAAGAAGAUCUGACGGUACUUGAUGAAUAAGCCACGGCUAAUUCCGUGCCAGCAGCCGCGGUAAUACGGGAGUGGCAAGCGUUAUCCGGAAUUAUUGGGCGUAAAGCGUCCGCAGGCGGUCUUGUAAGUCUGUCGUUAAAGCGUGGAGCUUAACUCCAUUUGAGCGAUGGAAACUGCAAGACUAGAGUGUGGUAGGGGCAGAGGGAAUUCCCGGUGUAGCGGUGAAAUGCGUAGAUAUCGGGAAGAACACCAGUGGCGAAGGCGCUCUGCUGGGCCAUAACUGACGCUCAUGGACGAAAGCCAGGGGAGCGAAAGGGAUUAGAUACCCCUGUAGUC
rnacentral:rRNA from 1 species